UCGACUCUCAGACUCACUUCAUCCUUGUGCUUGUGGACAGAAGGCAGUGGCCAGCAGCGUCCCGUUGUGCCCAGCAUCCGCGUCCCUCCCUCCCGACCUGGGGAUGGCACAGCCCAUCAGAAAGGAAACCUUGGAAGAGGAACCUGGGAGAAGUUGCCCCAGGGAACUCUCAUUUGGGGUAAGCUCCCAAGCCAUGGUACUGCCGAAUCCAAGGAGAUGAUGUUGCAACCUGGAAGCAGUUGGUCCUCACCUCCCUGACACAUGGUAAACUCAUCUCCAAUGUCCC
rnacentral:lncRNA from 1 species